UGCCCAGCAACUCCUAUCCCUACCUCCUCGUGGUACUGGCCGGGGUACGAGUAUCCUUGGGGAAGAUCGGGUAACCAACCCCCGGUGGGAACUUUGGUCGUAUGCUGACAGGGAAGG
rnacentral:ribozyme from 1 species